GUGAUUGACGGUGACAAAGGGGCGGUGCUGCAGGAAAAGAGGGGCUGAGAUCAAAAUUUAAAGUGCGUGGGGUCACUGUGUGCGAGUGAUGCACAGAUAAUCCAGAACCGCAGCAUGGAGCUUCACUCAGUGUGACUUUCAGUCAACUUCCUUUUGCCUGCAAGAUGUGAGACUCCUAGCUACUACUGCAGUGCCACAUCUGCCUGCACACAGCCAUCCUCCUCAUCAUGAUGAUAACUCACUGGACUUCUGAAACUGGCUGGUGGGGCUAUGCCCCUUGGCCAUACCUGCUGCCCGGGUGUCUUUUAGACAAUCAUCACCAGCCCAGUUGCUCCAUGUGGUCAGAACAUACAGCUGGUUCCUGCUGAAUUCCUACUUUCUGGAGGCAUACCAAUGGUAAGCUCCUUCUUGAUCAUGACCUACAACCCCAGUGCAUCCAUCUUUUGUCAUCUCUGCAUGAAGAAUAGAAAAUAUCUUGAUUUCAUCAAAAACAUGUAAUUUGAAAGCUUCUGCAACUGUAAUGUGUUCAGUCACACAAUAGAAAUGUAUGAAAAUAAUUUCUCAUGAAACUGAGUGAUUUACAUAAAGACUCCUGCAUAUUAUAAAUAUAUAUAUGUUUGUGUGUAUAAACAUGUGAGCAUGCAUCCAUUAUUCAUCAAAAAAGAUCUCUGAAAAUUCUGCAGAAUUUUAAAUUUAAUUAAACCAAGCAAAAUGUCAACUUAAAAUUUCAAAAUAAUAUUACUUGCAACAAUGGCAAAGUGCUUUAACAAAACUAUCUUUGUUUUGUUUCUUGUAAUUAUUGUAAUUAACUUCGUAAAAUUUAUCCAAUUACAUUCAUUUAUGUCCUUUUCUGUUUGUUUCUUAACUGAGUGCCUUGGUACAUCCAAAAAUGCAAUAAAAGUAUCUACUUUCCACAACUGCACUGUCUUUAUAUUUCAUAAAUCAAUGGACUUUUAAUAACAUGUUUCUUUUCCUGAAACCUCUUCUAUUUUCCUUUUUCUGGUGAUUUUGUCUGUAUUGAUUUAUUUCAUUAAUGCUGCAUUUCUGAUUUUAGAAAACUAAUAAUAAUGUGAAAUCAUACUGUAGAUUUAUUUUCAACUUAAUAACUUUUUACAUUGGAUAAUAGAGUUUUCAUUUUCACCAUUGAGUUUUACAUUACUAAUUUGGAUCAUUUCAAGGAUUUUAUCUUCAUAUUUGUGUGUGUUUGGGGGGGUGUUUGAUACUGGCAGAGGACAAAAGACUGCUUUGGAUCACAUGGAGCUGAAAUUAUUGAUGAUUGUAAGUUGAAUGACAA